GUCUAGGGACUGUUUAAUGCCACAUUUUAAGAAAAUUUGCUUAGUUUCAUAUGUUGAAAGUUAUUAGACAGAUGAUUAAGGAUAACAUGAGUUGAGCCAAAAAGGUGAUGUGAUCUGCACUUCUGGAUUGUGGAGGACAAGAGAUCAACAGCCUGCCACUGUAAUCAAUCGAAGAAGCUAGAAAAGCCAAACCAAGCAGUUAAGAAGUGUAUUUGUUUGACUGCAUAUCUCAAAAAAAAAAAAAAAAAACUUCAUAGUAAUAAUUAUGAAAGAGUUGUAAGCAACUGAUGACAACACUCGAUGUGGACCCACUGGACAACUGCAAAUAGUUACAUGUCAUUUUGGAGAGUGUAUAAAAAUAAUACUGUAUAUGGUGCAUUAGUGAUGUUGAGAUUAGUUUUUGCUAAAACUUGAUACUGCAAAAAAUGCUAAAGUUCACAGAAAGAGUUAAAUGUUACCAUCAUGUACAAAACAAGAUUCAACCAUGUGCGAUUCCCAUGAUGAUCAUUCAAAAUUUUUAAAAUGUCUUCAACAUAAAUAAGCUAUGUAGAUAACUGUCAUAGAGUUCAGAGAAAGUAGUAGGGAUAAAACAGCUGUGUGCUACAGAAGCUCACUCAACCUACUCAGCCAAUAUUGUGCUUGAUCCCUAGCCUCCUUGAUGUCAUGCUGAACUUUUUCACCCAGUAUUUCAAGUACUUCGACAGAACUUUCCACCUUUCCUUCUCGCCUUUGGGACUCUUGCAAACGUCGCAUUAAUUCCUAUCUAAAUUUAUUAGUAUCCAGAAGAAAGUUUGGAAGAGGCUGUGAGAAGAGAAACAUGGUAGGAGACUGGUAGUGAAGUCGGACAAGUUGUUUACCAUAGUUCUCAGCCAUGGUUUGAUAAUGUUCUGAAAUUUGAUAAAUUUCAAACAUUGUUCUUUCAUUCUUUAAACAUGUCAAUAUAUUUCUUGCUUUUCAGAUGAUGAAGAAAGAUUUAGGUAUUUAACUGUGAUAAAAGCAGAGGAUACUUUUGCAGCCAACUGGUCGGGUACUUUGAAAAAGAAACUGUGAUUCACCUUAUUUGAGCAAUAUCCUAUGUUUUCCGUUUUCUCGAGUACUUACUUCCAUUUGUUAAGGUCCAUCAGAUAGAAGCUUUCUUUGGAUAUGAUAUUUGUACUUAGAUAGUCCACUGUCUCGAAACUUCACAUUACCUUUGUUCUUUAAUGUCAUUGUUCAAAACAUAAAUGAUGCAUUUUAACGUGUGAUUUUAAGCACAAUAUCCUGUUUGGUGUCAUUUACAAUUUAUGUACAACUUGUUCCGUAGCAUUAUCUGUCAAGUCUAUCUUGAUGCAAAAGGUUGCCAAGAAAUAUGUAGAUCAUUUUUUCAUAUUGAAACUGCUCGACUUAUUUAAUUCGGAGGACCCAAGAAAAAGAGUGUGCUUGAAAUCAAUGUUGCAUCAUCAUUGUGGGAAGUUCAUGAUGCACAUGCCUUUUAUCAGAAAAGCUGAAAGGAAUAUUUUUUAUCAUUUUACUUUUGAGAGCGAAUUAUUAACUUUUACAGAUUUGUCUGACAUGUAUGAUCAUACAGCUUUUGAACAAGUCUAAUUUAUGCAUUUUCUUAUUUUAGUAUAAUUAUACAGGGUAAAGCUUCAGUUUACACAUGAUCAAUUCUUGGAGAAUCUGCAGAAUGUCCUCAUUCAUGAACAGAAAGCACUAAAAGAUCACAUUCAUAAAAAAGAGCAUUCAUUCUUCCUUUCUCUCUAGCAAAAGACAUGAUCAAUUCUUGGAGAAUCUGCAGAAUGUCCUCAUUCAUGAACAGAAAGCACUAAAAGAUCACAUUCACAAAAAGGUUCACUUUGUCAUCUAAACUUCUACUGCAGCUUGCCAUUCACAAUGACACUCUGAACAGUUUUAGAGACCAAAAUGGUUGUCAUGUAGGGUGAAAAGUACUAAUUUAGCAUCGCAAAAGUAACCAAUUUAUCAUGGCUAUGGAAUGGACAAAUCUAGCAGAAAUAAGUCCACAGAUGACAUAUUAUUAGAUAGUGCAUCAGAUGGCCCCGAUUUUAUUUUCUGAAGAACUUAGUGUGUUGAGAAAUACGAACCUAGCAGUGAAUGAGGAGAGGUCCAAUGAUGCAGUAUUUUCAGGUUACACCUCUGUGGAAUGACAAAUUGAUGAGACUUCGUGAGAAGACAUGAACUCUAAAAUAUUUUUCAAGGUAUGCUCCAAGAUGAAUGAGACAUCUCCAACAAUUGUACUGCCACCAAAGUACAAACGCCCUCCUGGAAGACCUCCUGCAAAGAAGGAUCGUGGAAAAUCGGUCGAGAUAUGUUUGGAAAGAAGAACAUUAACUCAUGCACUGGAUGUGGGGCUAAGGGUCACAAUAGACAUUCUUAUAGGAAAUAUCGUAAAUGAUACAUUUUUUCUUCUGUAUUAUUUUUUGAUACUUUUUUCUGCACUUUUUAUAAUAAUGAACUCAUUUUUAUGGUUCUAAACAUUUAUUUAGCAUUUGCGAUCUAAGCACUGUUUAAUAUGAA